UACGAAGGGGGCUAGCGUUGUUCGGAAUUACUGGGCGUAAAGCGCACGUAGGCGGACUGCCAAGUCAGGGGUGAAAUCCCGGGGCUCAACCUCGGAACUGCCUCUGAUACUGUCAGUCUAGAGUCCGGGAGAGGUGGGUGGAAUUCCUAGUGUAGAGGUGAAAUUCGCAGAUAUUAGGAGGAACACCGGUGGCGAAGGCGACGCACUGGACCGGUACUGACGCUGAGGUGCGAAAGUGUGGGGAGCAAACAGG
rnacentral:rRNA from 1 species